rnacentral:tRNA from 1 species
GCCGUGAUAGGUCAGUUGGGAGAGCGUUAGACUGAAGAUCUAAAUGUCCCUGGUUCUAUCCCGGGUCGCGGCA